CCUCCCGAGUAGCUGGGACUACAGGUGCCCACCACCACGCCCGGCUAAUUUUUUGUAUUUUUAGUAGAGACGGGGGUUUCACCAUGUUAGCCAGGAUGGUCUCGAUCUCCUGACCUCGUGAUCUGCCUGCCUCGGCCUCCCAAAGUGCUGGGAUUACAGGCGUGAGCCACCGCACCUGGCUGACUGACUGCAAUGUUUAUCUUUGUUUUCUUCAGGCUUUUUCAUUGUCCACUAGGGCCUUCUAGAAAGAUAGCUGUGGGCUGGGCGCGGUGGCUCACGCUUGUAAUCCCAGCACUUUGGGAGGCCGAGGCGGGCAGAUCACGAGGUCAGGAGAUUGAGACCACGGUGAAACCCCGUCUCUACUAAAAAUACAAAAAAUUAGCCGGGCGUGGUGGCGGGCGCCUGUAGUCCCAGCUACUCGGAGAGGCUGAGGCAGGAGAAUGGCGUGAACCCAGGAGGCGGAGCUUGCAGUGAGCCGAGAUUGUGCCACUGCACUCCAGCCUGGGCAACAGAGCGAGACUCCGUCUCAAAAAAAAAAAAGAAAGAUAGCUGCGAUACUGCAGGCUAAGCAAUGGGGAGAUGAGGAAGAGGAGGAGGAGAGGAAAAGUGGAAAUAGAGGGGAGUGAUGAAGGAAAAUUUAGAAGGAACAAAAAAGUAUUUAUUCACAGGCUCUGGCUGCCCCAAGGGCUGUGCAGUUCAAGAAGAGUGAACAGCUGAAAACACACCUGCAGCCCAUCAGUCAGUGCAGUCGCUGGAAGACUCCACUCUGGAGGAUGAGGACCUAAAGCUCCUUUGGAGGGGCCCUUGCAUCCCCACACUUCCCAUGGCAGGGGAAGUAGUAAGAACAUAAUUAUUUUAUACUUCAUCCUGAAGAUGAAUCUACAUAAGUCCAAGCCAGGCUGGAUGAAAUCUUUAAGCACAGACACCAAGUGCAGGCUGGAUAAUUAAUUACACAGGAGCAUGAGAGCAAAAGCCCAGUCCUGCUGGGCUCCCACAUCAAUUUGCCUUAGUGGAUGUGAACAGUUUAAUCUCCAUGGAAAACACAAGGUCUCAAGUGAACAGGCUUCCCCUCCCAACACUGCAGAAGACAUUUGCCCUCACCAAAGCCUUUGGAGCAGCUAUUCCCACAGCUCUCACCCAGCUAGGACUCCCACAGCAAGCUCACCUGAAUCUUUUAAGGUGCAGCCGGAGAACCUGAGGUAGUCUGUAGAUCAUUAACUGCUUUCUAGCUUCACUCAGAACAAGGGGUUUGGGAUUGGAUUUUCGUCGUUUGCCUAUGUGGUUUGGGAAGGUAUAAGACAUAGGUUGUGAGGAGUUUUUUAUAGCUAUGGCAGAGACAGCGACUUGCCAUUCAUUAUGCAUUCUCCAUAUUUCUCGGUAUCUGAACCUCAAUUUUUGUGGGGGCGCAAUGUGACACUCUUUAUGACUGCAUUUCCCAGCUUCACAUGCCUGCAUGGUGUGGCCAUGGAAGUUCUGGCUAAGAUAAAGGAAUGACUGUGUGGAACUCUGCUUAGACAGGGCUGACUCAGUUGUAAGGUGCAUCCCUUUGGCUUUCCCACUAUCUGAAACCGCUGGAAUUCCUGCUGGACAAAAAGGUAACUUUGAAAACAGAAGUCUUGCAAUAGGAUAGGUAAAACAGAAAGACAGAAAUAGCUUGGGUCACUGAGGACCAUGCAGCCACCAUGCUGGCCCUAAAUGUCCUUCAGACUUGUUUUAUGUAACAGAAAAAUAAAAUCUCUCAUUUUAAGUCAUUGGUAUAUGGGUCGACUGUUACAAGCAACUCAAAUCUUUCCAAUUUUUGCCAUCAGCAACUUUACGUAUAAUGGAAUAUAAUGGAACGUGCAGCAGCAAGCACACAGAGUAGAAGCAUGUUAAGGCUCCAUGUCUUCACAAUGGCUUAUAACUUUAAUUAUGAUACCCCACAAUAUGAUUUUAAAAAGCUUUUUGUUUGCACUAGGUAAGCCUAAUUCUGCUUCCUGCUCACAACUAGUUGUGUGCUAACGGUAAGUUAUUCAAAACUCUGAACCUCAGUUUCCUCACCAGUAAAAUAGGGAAUAAUGCAUAUAUUUCAGGCUUAGGAAAAAAAGGAUAAGAUUACUAAAAGAUAGAGUAUUUAAACACAUUUUUCUUUAGCAUGAUUUGCUUAUGGCAUAUUCAAACAUUUAGAAAAUAAACUGUUGGUUCUAUA